ACCUUAAAAGUAAGCUCCCCUUGGAAACCUCCCGCAACCAUAAAGUUGUCCUUGACAGCUAGAGUGCUUAUUUGAGUUUGUGUAAAACCUUCUAAUAAACUUCCGGGAUGUUUCUAAGUUGGUGCUUCAUCGACAGAAAAAUUCAGGACC